rnacentral:rRNA from 1 species
CCGCGGUAAUUCCAGCUCCAAUAGCGUAUAUUAAGAUUGUUGCAGUUGAAACGUCCGUAGUUGAAUUUCACUCAGGGACAAGAUCUUCUUGCAUUUAGCUUGAGGGUCAUGUUCCGAGCGAGAAUAUGCGCAAGCAUGUUCUCAUUGUUACUUUGAGCAAACUGGAGGGCUCCAGCCGGGCAUCAUGCCUUUACAGCUCAGCAUGGAAUAACAAGCUAGGAUUUUAAUCCAUCUUGUUGGUAACAUGGAUUAAAGUAAUGGUUGAUAAGGAUGUACGGGGACAUUCGGACUUGCUGGAGAGAGGUGAAAUUCUAAGACCCAGCAAAGACGAACAAGUGCGAAAGCAUUUGUCCAGUACUUGCCUGUUAAUCAAGGACGAAAGUUGGGGGAUCGAAGACGAUUAGAUACCCGCGUAGUCC